rnacentral:rRNA from 1 species
AUGCUGGAGGUAUCAGAAGUGCGAAUGCUGACAUAAGUAACGAUAAAGCGGGUGAAAAGCCCGCUCGCCGGAAGACCAAGGGUUCCUGUCCAACGUUAAUCGGGGCAGGGUGAGUCGACCCCUAAGGCGAGGCCGAAAGGCGUAGUCGAUGGGAAACAGGUUAAUAUUCCUGUACUUGGUGUUACUGCGAAGGGGGGACGGAGAAGGCUAUGUUGGCCGGGCGACGGUUGUCCCGGUUUAAGCGUGUAGGCUGGUUUUCCAGGCAAAUCCGGAAAAUCAAGGCUGAGGCGUGAUGACGAGGCACUACGGUGCUGAAGCAACAAAUGCCCUGCUUCCAGGAAAAGCCUCUAAGCAUCAGGUAACAUCAAAUCGUACCCCAAACCGACACAGGUGGUCAGGUAGAGAAUACCAAGGCGCUUGAGAGAACUCGGGUGAAGGAACUAGGCAAAAUGGUGCCGUAACUUCGGGAGAAGGCACGCUGAUAUGUAGGUGAAGUCCCUCGCGGAUGGAGCUGAAAUCAGUCGAAGAUACCAGCUGGCUGCAACUGUUUAUUAAAAACACAGCACUGUGCAAACACGAAAGUGGACGUAUACGGUGUGACGCCUGCCCGGUGCCGGAAGGUUAAUUGAUGGGGUYAGCGCAAGCGAAGCUCUUGAUCGAAGCCCCGGUAAACGGCGGCCGUAACUAUAACGGUCCUAAGGUAGCGAAAUUCCUUGUCGGGUAAGUUCCGACCUGCACGAAUGGCGUAAUGAUGGCCAGGCUGUCUCCACCCGAGACUCAGUGAAAUUGAACUCGCUGUGAAGAUGCAGUGUACCCGCGGCAAGACGGAAAGACCCCGUGAACCUUUACUAUAGCUUGACACUGAACAUUGAGCCUUGAUGUGUAGGAUAGGUGGGAGGCUUUGAAGUGUGGACGCCAGUCUGCAUGGAGCCGACCUUGAAAUACCACCCUUUAAUGUUUGAUGUUCUAACGUKGACCCGURAUCCGGGUUGCGGACAGUGUCUGGUGGGUAGUUUGACUGGGGCGGUCUCCUCCUAAAGAGUAACGGAGGAGCACGAAGGUUGGCUAAUCCUGGUCGGACAUCAGGAGGUUAGUGCAAUGGCAUAAGCCAGCUUGACUGCGAGCGUGACGGCGCGAGCAGGUGCGAAAGCAGGUCAUAGUGAUCCGGUGGUUCUGAAUGGAAGGGCCAUCGCUCAACGGAUAAAAGGUACUCCGGGGAUAACAGGCUGAUACCGCCCAAGAGUUCAUAUCGACGGCGGUGUUUGGCACCUCGAUGUCGGCUCAUCACAUCCUGGGGCUGAAGUAGGUCCCAAGGGUAUGGCUGUUCGCCAUUUAAAGUGGUACGCGAGCUGGGUUUAGAACGUCGUGAGACAGUUCGGUCCCUAUCUGCCGUGGGCGCUGGAGAAYUGAGGGGGGCUGCUCCUAGUACGAGAGGACCGGAGUGGACGCAUCACUGGUGUUCGGGUUGUCAUGCCAAUGGCACUGCCCGGUAGCUAAAUGCGGAAGAGAUAAGUGCUGAAAGCAUCUAAGCACGAAACUUGCCCCGAGAUGAGUUCUCCCUGAC